rnacentral:lncRNA from 1 species
CAGUGUGGUCGAAGGUACUGCACAGAUUUUAAAAAAGUAACUAUCUUUUCCAAUUUCUUAUAAUCGGGUCGGAACUCUGCUGUAGGGGCCCGCUGUCGGUUCCUGACGUAAAUUGACGUGUGCAGCCCAUUUUUAAUUGUUUUCCUUCUCUCAUAUUUGUUUCCUUUAAUUCACAGAAGAGAGAAAAGUACCGGUGUUCAUCUCCUCUCGCCUCUUUCUGCGACAACUCCACCGCCGCUCUCUUCAGUGAGAAAACGAUUUAAGGUUUUAAAUAUUUUGCCUCUGUUGAUACAUAAUUGAUUUCCAACUUCCUCUUUCAUUGUGAAGGUCUGGAAUGUUUCCGAUGCUAGGUGUUGACCCCGUUGCACUAAAUUUGUUUAUCGCUAUUGGAGCUUCAUUUUGUAAGAUUUAUUGUUUAUUUCUUCCAUUUUUGUUAAUGUUGCUUGUGACCUCGGAAGAAAUUUAUUAAUUAAAACAAGUGUAAAUUCUUUUAGUUAUAUUUAAUUUUUAAAUCAAAUUCUUCAAUUCGUAUUAUCAUUUUUUUAUUUAUUUACUUCUGAAAUUAGAUUGAGGCAGAAGCUUUGUUUAGUUGAAGAUUUAUUUGAUAAUUGAAUUAGCUAAUAUAUUGUGAUUGUGUUUCAUUUCUUAAAAAUAUCAUCAUGCCAUUGAGGUUAAUUGUAGUUAGAGGAAUUUGCUUCAAUGAUUUUCUGGUCCAUCGGCGCCUAUUGGGUGUCGAUAUUUUCAUCUCUGGUGUUUUUCGAAAUAUUUUAUGUCGUAUUCGCACUGCGUUGAUUUUUUUUUUUCUUUUUUACCAAAGAAUCUUAUGUGACCUGUUUAUUAGUCGUAAACUAUAUUCUUAUGCAGAUUUUAUAUUUCACUUGCAAUAACAUAAUGCUGCUGCACACCUCUUAUGUAUAUAUAUUUCCGUCGAAUAUAAAUUGGUUUGCCAUUCUCGUAGCUCUUUAUUUGUACGCCCAUACCGAAGUUAUUUAUUCAGUAUUUACCUUUGCUAUACUGAAAAAGUGAUGAUAAUAUCAUUUUAUGAUUUUCUUUCCAGUACACAACUACACAUUGCUUUAAUUCCUUUGGUUGUCUUUAUACAGGAAAAUCUUGAGAACAUUUCACGGCCUCAUAUUUCUGAGAAAAGGGAAUUUUGUCAGAGGUGUCUGCAAAAAAGAGCUCCUUCACGAUUUUAACGCAUACAUUGAUAUUUCACAUUUUGUAAGCCUCAAGCCCUUCAUAUAUUAUUUUGAUUUCAUGAAAUAGUUUUCUUAUAGCUUCUACUGCUAAUUUUAAUCAAUUAGAUUAUCAAACAAUAUUAUAUAAAUAACUUGCUACAAUACUACUAACAAACGAUAUUUUUAUGUCUGUAUAUAUAUGUGUGUGUGUGUAUAUUAGCAAGAUAGACAUCAAUUGCGACCCUGACUUAUAAAAUAUUAUGAAUGUCAAUAAGGAUUUUUGGUUCAAACCAAUCAGUAAAAAUACAUGAGGUACAAAAGUAAUUUUGCGUAUUAAACUUUAGUUUAGGUAAUUUUUCGUAUUAAACUUUAGUUUAGGGGUCUUUCUAAAUAUGCAUAGUUAGGGGUAAUCUUAGCAGCUACAAUUUAUAUGCAUAUUAUUUUUUUGCCAAUGCAGUAACAUUGUUCUCAAAUUUCCUGAUACAUCUAUGGCCAGCGACAUUACAAAUGAUUUUGUCUCAUUUGUUUUCAGAGUAACAAGAAUUGCUCAUUUUUCUUGCUAAAGAGUUAUUCCAUAAUUUUGGAUUAUCAGCCUUUGGAUGGAUUCUACAAGUAUCUGUAACAUGUGUAACAGUUUUAGCGCCGAUUCAUAAUUUCGUUUUAUUUUAUUUUUUUGCAUUGCACACAAAUGCAGUAUCGGUGCAUGUUUCGUUUGAGAUUGUUUGGAUUUUUGGUUACUUGCGAGGGUGUAAGUUUUACAUACUAUGAAUUGUGAUAUAUGUAGUAUUACAAACUCAUAAAUGAAACAAUAUAUGGUAUGCCUUGUGAAUAUCGACAGUAUGCAGUAACCGUUGUUUAAUCCUCUCAUCUCCGGCAAACAACUUAUUUUCUCCGCACUUGUAUCUUGUACUACAGGUAUGACCAAAUAUAAAAAGGGCUCUCCGAAUGUGGCCAACAAAAAAGGGCUUUCGAGAUCACUUAUGUAACUCGACUAUCGAUAUUGAUCAAUGUAAGUAAAAUAACGUAACAAAUAGAAUGCAUAUAAUUCUUCAGCCUUGGGGGUUGCUUACAAUAUAGGUGCUGCAUGAUUUGAACCCAGCCAGAAGUGCUCACCGGUUUAAAGACCAGAGUCUGCCUCUUAUCAACAAUCAACAGAUAUUGCCAUCAAAAUUACUCAUAGAUAGUGGGCAAACAGCACCGCGCAUUGCGCGGUGCCUCUCCCCCUAGUAUAUAUAUAUAUAUAUAUAUAUAUAUAU